UACGUAGGGGGCUAGCGUUGUCCGGAUUCAUUGGGCGUAAAGGGUGCGUAGGCGGCGCGGUAAGUCGGGUGUGAAAUCUCGGAGCUUAACUCCGAAACUGCGUUCGAUACUGCCGUGCUUGAGGACUGGAGAGGAGACUGGAAUUCCUGGUGUAGCGGUGAAAUGCGCAGAUAUCAGGAGGAACACCGGUGGCGAAGGCGGGUCUCUGGGCCGAUACUGACGCUGAGGAGCGAAAGCGUGGGGAGCGAACAGG
rnacentral:rRNA from 1 species